CCAGGCGGCUUUAGUCUCAACAGGUGCUAUCACAUGUCGCUCUCCUACACCCACGUAUAUCUGCACAAUUUAAACUUGGCAAUUAAACUAAUACGCAUCUCUGUGGAAUUAAAUGAGAGUGAUCGGGUUAUAAACCAACAUAAACUGGAAGAAAGUGCAAACGUCAAGCCAGACGUAUCACAAAAUAUCUGUAUAAUCUUGAAAUAUAUAAGGAAUUAAAAUAUUAAAAGACAAAACUCUGAACUUAUCCAUUGCGUUUUAGAAAUACUUCCAAUGCCGGGAACUGGGGCAGUUAAAACGUCCGCGUUUCGCAGACCAGUCGCGUGCUCGUCCUGCUCACAUGAGAAGCUGACGAUACACCUUUCGCCAAUAGGGGGCGAACAUGUUAAUUCAACACAGGAGGCAUCCAGGCACCGAUAAGGAGUCAAGCGAGUUGACAAUGGAUGGACACGGAAAUUACAACAUCUUCUAAAGAUCCUCUCAUAAUCGUGAAGGCCAAGAUACCACUUACGGUAUCCUGGGACAUCUGGAUUUUUUUUACUCAUGUUGCAGUGCCAUUUGCAGGUGAAACAAGGAUUCGGAUGAACUGUGGACAGAAGCUUCUCCUCAGUCUCUCUGAACUGAUGUUCAGGCAGCCGUAGUGUUUCCUUGACUGCAGCACAGAGAAAAGAC